rnacentral:rRNA from 1 species
UAAACGAUGAUACUCGAUGUGCGAUACACUGUCAGCGUCUGCGCGAAAGCAUUAAGUAAUCCACUGGGGAGUACGAUCGCAAGGUUGAAACUCAAAGGAAUUGACGGGGGCCCGCACAAGCGGAGGAGCAUGUGGUUUAAUUCGAUGAUACGCGAGGAACCUUACCUGGGCUUAAAUGUAGUGUGCAUUAGCGAUGAAAAUCCUAUUUCCUUCGGGACCCACUACAAGGUGCUGCAUGGUUGUCGUCAGCUCGUGCCGUGAGGUGUCGGGUUAAGUCCCAUAACGAGCGCAACCCCUAUUCUUAGUUGCCAUCAGGUAAUGCUGGGGACUCUAAGAAAACUGCCGGCGCAAGCCGUGAGGAAGGUGGGGAUGACGUCAAAUCAGCACGGCCCUUAUGUCCAGGGCUACACACGUGCUACAAUGGUCGGCACAAAGGGCAGCUACACAGCGAUGUGAUGCUAAUCUCCAAAGCCGAUCCUAGUUCGGAUCGAAGUCUGCAAUUCGACUUCGUGAAGUUGGAUUCGCUAGUAAUCGUAUAUCAGCAAUGAUACGGUGAAUAUGUUCCCGGGCCUUGUACACACCGCCCGUCAAGCCAUGGAAGCUGAGGGUACCUGAAGUUUGUGAUCCGUCUUUGAUGGAAGCGACCUAAGGUAAAAUUAGUGACUGGGGCUAAGUCGUAACAAGGUAACCAAGGGCGAA